UUCCGGUUGAUCCUGCCGGACCCGACUGCUAUCAGAGUGAGAUUAAGCCAUGCGAGUUGACGUAGCAAUACGUGGCGCACGGCUCAGUAACACGUAGUCAACAUGCCCAGAGGACGUGGAUAACCUCGGGAAACUGAGUCUAAACCGCGAUAAGUGAGGAUUUCUGGAAUGGUUCCUGACUAAAAUCUAUAUGGCCUCUGGAUUGGACUGCGGCCGAUCUGGCUGUUGGUGAGGUAAUGGCCCACCAAACCUGUAACCGGUACGGGCUCUGAGAGGAGGAGCCCGGAGAUGGGCACUGAGACAAGGGCCCAGGCCCUAUGGGGCGCAGCAGGCGCGAAACCUCUGCAAUAGGCGAAAGCCUGACAGGGUUACUCUGAGUGACUUUCGCUAAGAAAGUCUUUUGGCACCUCUAAAAAGGGUGCAGAAUGAGGGGUGGGCAAGUCUGGUGUCAGCCGCCGCGGUAAUACCAGCACCCCGAGUGGUCGGGACGAUUAUUGGGCCUAAAGCAUCCGUAGCCGGUUCUGCAAGUCCCCCGUUAAAUCCAGCUGCUCAACAGAUGGGCCGCGGAGGAUACUACAGAGCUAGGAGGCAGGAGAGGCAAGCGGUACUCAGUGGGUAGGGGUAAAAUCCGUUGAUCCAUUGAAGACCACCAGUGGCGAAGGCGGCUUGCCAGAAUGCGCUCGACGGUGAGGGAUGAAAGCUGGGGGAGCAAACCGGAUUAGAUACCCGGGUAGUCCUAG
rnacentral:rRNA from 1 species